CCUACGGGAGGCAGCAGUGGGGAAUAUUGCUCAAUGGGGGAAACCCUGAUGCAGCGACGCCGCGUGAGUGAAGAAGUAUUUCGGUACGUAAAGCUCUAUCUGCAGGGAAGAAAAUGACGGUACCUGACUAAGAAGCACCGGGUAACUACGUGCCAGCAGCCGCGGGAAUACGUAGGGGGCAAGCGUUAUCCGGAUUUACUGGGUGUAAAGGGAGCGUAGACGGCAGCGCAAGUCUGAAGUGAAAUCCCAGGGCUUAACCAUGGAACUGCUUUUGAAACUGUGCAGCUGGAGUGGAGGAGAGGUAAGCGGAAUGCCUGGUGUAGCGGUGAAAUGCGUAGAUAUUAGGAGGAACACCAGUGGCGAAGGCGGCGUACUGGACUGUAACUGACGUUGAGGCUCGAAAGCGUGGGUAGCAAACAGGAUUAGAUACCCCUGUAGUC
rnacentral:rRNA from 1 species